GACGAACGCUGGCGGCGUGCCUAAUGCAUGCAAGUCGCACGGGUCGCCUUCGGGAGGUCAGUGGCGAACGGCUGAGGAGCCCGUUGGGACCCAUCCUUCAGUGGGGGACAACACCGCGAAAGCGGUGCGAAUCCCGCAUACGCUCUGCGGAGGAAAUCGUGGCAACGCGCGCUGAAGACUGGACCUGCGGCCCAUCAGGUAGUUGGCGUGGUAACGGCCCACCAAGCCCGGUACGGGUCGCUGGUCUGUGAGGACGACCAGCGAGACUGGGACUGGGAAACGGCCCGGACUCCUACGGGAGGCAGCAGCAAGGGAUGUUCGGCAAUGGGCGCAAGCCUGACCGAGCAACGCCGCGUGCGGGAUGACGGCCUUCGGGUUGUAAACCGCAUUUGGGGGGGAAGAAACAGACGGUACCCCACGAAUCAGCCCCGGCUAACUCUGUG
rnacentral:rRNA from 1 species